GACGGCAAAUUAUCAUCUCGCGCUUGUCAAAACAACAAAAUUAUCAUCGAUACCACCAAGAUGCGUCGACGAUCUCCUUCGUACGAUGGACGUGUUUAAACUUCCAGAAAAGAGCUGGUCGCGAUCAGCUGAUCGGUUUUUUAAACGCCAAACACAAGCGAUGCGCUUUAUUUUCGCCACCGGAGAGACUGACAGAAGCUAUCUUCUUUGUGCACACGCUAUCAUCUC